CACGUAGGCACCAAGCGUUGUCCGGAUUUAUUGGGCGUAAAGAGCUCGUAGGCGGUUCAGUAAGUCGGGUGUGAAAACUCUGGGCUCAACCCAGAGAUGCCACCCGAUACUGCUGUGACUUGAGUACGGUAGGGGAGCAGGGAAUUCCUGGUGUAGCGGUGAAAUGCGCAGAUAUCAGGAGGAACACCGGUGGCGAAGGCGGUUCUCUGGGAAUGACCUGACGCUGAGGAGCGAAAGUGUGGGGAGCGAACAGG
rnacentral:rRNA from 1 species